rnacentral:tRNA from 1 species
UGCCCGGUUGUGUAAUGGCAGCACGCAAGAUUCUGGCUCUUGUUGUGGGGGUUCGAGUCCUCCCCGGGCAG